UGGGGAAUAUUGGACAAUGGGCGAAAGCCUGAUCCAGCCAUGCCGCGUGUGUGAAGAAGGCCUUUUGGUUGUAAAGCACUUUAAGCGAGGAGGAGGCUACUUGGAUUAAUACUCUAGGAUAGUGGACGUUACUCGCAGAAUAAGCACCGGCUAACUCUGUGCCAGCAGCCGCGGUAAUACAGAGGGUGCGAGCGUUAAUCGGAUUUACUGGGCGUAAAGCGUGCGUAGGCGGCUUCUUAAGUCGGAUGUGAAAUCCCUGAGCUUAACUUAGGAAUUGCAUUCGAUACUGAGAAGCUAGAGUAUGGGAGAGGAUGGUAGAAUUCCAGGUGUAGCGGUGAAAUGCGUAGAGAUCUGGAGGAAUACCGAUGGCGAAGGCAGCCAUCUGGCCUAAUACUGACGCUGAGGUACGAAAGCAUGGGGAGCAAACAGG
rnacentral:rRNA from 2 species